CGCUCUUUGAAAAUAUUAAAUUGAUAUAAAGAGUCGGACCUGCCCAGUGACGUAGUGUUAAACGGCCGCGGUACUCUGACCGUGCAAAGGUAGCAUAAUCACUUGCCUUUUAAUUGGAGGCUUGUAUGAAUGGUUUGACGAGAGCUAAGCUGUCUCCUUUUUAAAUAUUUAGAAAUUAAUUUAUAGGUGAAGAGGCCUAUAUAUAUUUGAGGGACAAGAAGACCCUGUUGAGUUUAAGUGAAAUUAAAAAUGAAUUGUUAUUUGUAAUUAUUGAAAUUUUAAGUAAUAAGAAUUACUACAAUGUAGAAGUUAUGUUUUUUAUAAUCUUUAGUUGGGGCGACUGAGGAGCAUGUAAAGCUUCCUUUAAAAAAUUAUGGCAGGCGAGUUAGGUUGAUCCAAUUUUGUUGAUUAAAGGAAAAAAUUACCACAGGGAUAACAGCGUAAUCUUUUUGGAGAGUUCUUAUCGAAGAAAGGGUUUGCGACCUCGAUGUUGGACUAAGAUAUCCCGAGGGUGUAGAAGUUCUUGAAGGUUGGUCUGUUCGACCAUUAAAAUCUU
rnacentral:misc_RNA from 1 species